UGACAAAUUAAAGGAUCAAAUUGAAGUUGAGAAAUGAAAACAUCUUAUAUUAUCUCCCUUAUUCUCAUAUUGCUUAUUUUCUUAGGUAUUAAACAUCUUUCUUUACAACUUUGCUAUUUUCAAUCACUAUUUCAACAUCACAUAUUCUUCUCUCUACAAAAAUAUAUUAGAAUCAACAUGUUAACUCUCUCUUUAGUAAUCACGAUAUAAUGAAUAUGUUAACUUUGGAAUUCUUUAUAAACACAAUAGAAUCAAUACAUGCAUGCAUUAUCAUCCCUUUAUUUCUUUAUUAUAGUGAAAGUUGAUUGAUGAUAACCAAAUUUUUCAAUGGUAGCUUAUGGGGAUCCAAUCCCGGAACGUGAAUGUCAAUUUGUGAUCACUAUAAGCAACUGUAAGAUGGAGCAGUGCAAUAAUGAAUGCUCUACAAAAGAUAGAUAUUCUAUCGGAAGAUGCGAUAACAACUCCACCUGUAUAUGCAAAUAUCGUUGUAAAAAUCCCCCACUAUAGUUCAUUAUGCUAAUAUGAAGUCCCAAAC
rnacentral:lncRNA from 1 species